UACGGAGGGUGCAAGCGUUAUCCGGAUUCACUGGGUUUAAAGGGCGCGUAGGCGGGCUGGUAAGUCCGUGGUGAAAUCUCCGAGCUUAACUCGGAAACUGCCGUGGAUACUAUUAGUCUUGAAUACUGUGGAGGUAAGCGGAAUAUGUCAUGUAGCGGUGAAAUGCUUAGAUAUGACAUAGAACACCGAUAGCGAAGGCAGCUUGCUACACAGUCAUUGACACUGAGGCACGAAAGCGUGGGGAGCAAACAGG
rnacentral:rRNA from 1 species